GAGGGUUUAGCUCAAAGGGUAGAGCACAUGCUUAGCAUGCAUGAGGUGCUGGAUUCAAUCUCUAGUCCCCUCU
rnacentral:tRNA from 1 species